AUAAGUCUUCAGGGCAGGGUGCAAGUCCCUACCGGCGGUAAAGCCCGCGAGCCGAGAGGUAUGAUCCGGUGAGAUUCCGGGGCCGACAGUAUAGUCUGGAUGAAAGAAGAAUUUC
rfam:Clostridiales sp. SS3/4 draft genome.